UCCGAUCUGGACUGGUCUGGAAAUGAUAUCGGCUUUAACCGUUUCCGAGUUUUAGAACCUUGGUGGCCUGUUGUUCUUCUUCAUCUUCAAAAGUGAGAUCUAAUCUAUGAGCAUUCAGAAACAGAUCCGAGUGCUCUUGUUCUCUCGUUAAGUCGUUAUUGAUUUUCUUCUUCUUACUGUUGUUGAUCUGCAACUCGUCCUUGCAAACACGUUCUUUGAUUGCUUCCAUUCUUUUCUUUCUUCAGAUUAGGAUUAUUUCGACAGGAGUUGCGGGUUAAAUUCAGUCUCCAGCAAGCAUGUGGUCAUGCUUUAAAUUACCCAACAAUGGAAGAAACCGAACAGAAAAUGGAUCUAGAACAAGACUUGAGAAGAAAGACCCAGAACAGGAACAAUUUAGAUUCUUAAAGGGAAGAACAGAAGAGGAAUCAUUCAUGUUGGAAAAUGGAGGUCGGAUAUUAGAAGAGCUAAUCUCUUCCUUUGGUGGCAAAUCAACUCCCUUUCGUACCUUCUCCAAGCAAGAACUCCAGAUUGCAACCAACAAUUAUCCUCAAGACGGAGUUCUUCACAGUGAUUUGACCUAUAAAUUGUAUAAAGGAACCCUAGAAAAUCGUGAAAUUUCGGUCAAGAGGUUUACUGAAGUUGAUGCUGAGAGAUAUAUCCACUGGUAUAUAAAUGAAUUCGCAGUCGCAUCUCAGAUGAAUCAUCACAAGCAUGUUUUGAAACUCUUGGGUUGUUGCUUAGAGACCCAAGUUCCUACACUGGUGUAUGAAUUUGCAGAGAAUGGAGAUCUGUCUGAUCAUAUUUACGAGAAAUUGGAGCUCCCUUCGAAGCAUCAUCCACCAUUAACGUGGGAUAACAGGUUAAGGAUUGCGACUGAGGUAGCAGAUGCGAUAACCUAUCUCCACACAGGUACUUCUAAGCCCAUCAUCCACAGGGAAAUCAAACCCAGAAAUAUUUUCUUAGGUAAAAACUUUGCUGCAAAACUAUUUGAAUUUGGGCUCUCCAUUUCAAUUCCUUUGGGUGAAACACAUGUAGAAUCAGAGGUUGUUGGGUCUAUUGGGUUCAUUGAUCCUGAAGCUGUCUCCACUGAGAGGUUUACAGAGAAGAGCGAUGUUUAUAGUUUUGGGGGUGUAUUGCUUGAAAUUUUGACAGGUAGGAGGGUUCGUCAUAUAUUCGAGGAGGUGUUUGAGGGUGUGCCAGGAUCUUACCGGGCUGAACAAUUGAUGAAUUUAAAGGAUUCCAAAUAUACUGUUAUGGACCAAGAAAAUGAUCUCGAAAGGUACUUAAAGAGAAAUAUUUUGAAGGAAAAAAACAGAGAGCAGUUAAUGGCAUGUGCAGAGCUUGCUCUGAAAUGUGUCAAAGUGAAUCCUGGGGAAAGGCCUACUAUGAUGGAAGUGGCAUAUGAGCUCAGAAGAAUCAAAGGUAUUCAACACUCUUCAGAAUGAUGCAAAGAAAUAUUUGUUGUUUUUCCAUUCUAUGUUCUUGUACAAAGCAAGGGAAAAGAUUUUGCAAUAUCCAUUCCCUGCAGGAACUUUCUUUGAUUUGGUUUCUUUAGCCCUAGCAGAACACACAAAAUAGCUGCAGGUGAUCAGAUGUUUAAUGGGAUGGCUAGUGAGUCCAAUGGAUGCAUUUCUUUGACCUGAGAAAGAUUGUAAUUAACUGUAAAGGGAAUUUAUUUUGGGAGAGGAGUUGCAUUAAUGCUUGAGUUGGGGGUUGAUAGUGCCAAUUAGUCCCUUUGUUCUGGAUGUGGUCAAAGGAAGAAAUCUGCGAUACGUGCUGUAGACUGUCAUCUAUCAUCUUUUUCUCAAUUUAGCAUCACCUCUAGAAUCUUUACACAUCAUAAAAUGGUCACUUUUGAUUAAGGCUAAGGUGGCUUUGAAUUCCUGGAUUUUUUUUUUUUUUAAAUAGGUGGAAUUUAAAAGUUCUGUUUAGAUGAUUAGAUCUAACAAAUCAGAACUAUUGGUUGAGGUUGAGGAUGAAAUGAAUGUUGACCAAUUGGUUGAGCAGAAUGGAAAGGAUUCCAAAUAUACUGCUAUGGACAGUGAAAAUGAUCUAAAGGUACUUAAAGGCAAAUAUCUUGAAGGAAAGAAACGGAGAGCAGUUACUGGGCAGAGCUUCCUCUGAAAUGUGUCAAAAUGUAUCCUAAGGAAAGGUCUACUAUGAUGGAAGUGACAUAUGACCUCAGAAGAAUUAAAGAAGCAUGGAACUGCCCUUGACUAGACAUUCAAUCCAUAUACUGAUGCCUACUUCGGGAGAAAUUACAAAACAUGGAAUUGCUUUUUCAAUAAGAAGUUCAUGCUCUGAUGCAUAAUUGGGAAUACAUGGUAUGCUUCUUGGUCUAAUUCAAGCUAAGGCGAGGUGUUAGAUCUGCUUUUGUUCUAUCCUUUCAUCAAAGCAAUCUUGUUUCAGCCUCACUUAUACUAUGACCUCAGUGGCAAAAUCAAUUCAUUGAGGAGUGGGUUUUCUUCUAUCUCCAGUCCCCAUAUAACAACAAGAAGGAUUGUUCUGCAUUCUAUUAUGGCUUUACAGUCUUAUACAAUUUCUGGAAGGCUAGAUGU